UACGUAGGGGGCAAGCGUUGUCCGGAUUUAUUGGGCGUAAAGAGCGUGUAGGCGGCCACACAGGUCAGCUGUGAAAACUCGAGGCUCAACCUCGAGACGUCGGUUGAAACCGUUUGGCUAGAGUCCGGAAGAGGAGAGUGGAAUUCCCGGUGUAGCGGUGAAAUGCGCAGAUAUCGGGAAGAACACGCGUGGCGAAGGCGGCUCUCUGGGACGGUACUGACGCUGAGACGCGAAAGCGUGGGGAGCGAACAGG
rnacentral:rRNA from 1 species